CUGGGUAUGGCUCAAUCUGGCGAGAGCGCUCGGUUCGGGUCCGAGAGACUGGGGGUUCGAAUCCCUCUACCCAGACCA
rnacentral:tRNA from 1 species